rnacentral:rRNA from 1 species
GACGAACCGUGCGAACGUUGUUCGGAAUUACUGGGCGUAAAGGGCCAGUAGGCGGCCAACUAAGUCACACGUGAAAUCCCCAGGCUUAACCUGGGAACUGCGUGUGAUACUGGAUGGCUUGAAUUCGGGAGAGGGAUGCAGAAUUCCAGGUGUAGCGGUGAAAUGCGUAGAUAUCUGGAGGAAUACCGGUGGCGAAGGCGGCAUCCUGGACCGACAUUGACGCUGAACGGCGAAAGCUAGGGGAGCAAACGGG